GACGAACGCUGGCGGCGUGCCUAAUACAUGCAAGUCGAACGCAGUGGGGACGGGUGAGUAACACGUGGGUAACCUCCCAUCAGAGGGGAUAACACCUGGAAACAGGUGCUAAAACGAUAUCGAUGGAUGGCCCCGCGGUGCAUGAGCCGGUUGGGGAGGUAACGGAUCACCAAGGCCACGAUGCAUAGCCGACCUGAGAGGGUGUUCGGCAACAUUGGGCCUGAGACACGGCCCAGACUCCUAGGGGAGGCAGCGGGGGGGAAUCUUCGGCAAUGGACGAAAGUCUGACCGAGCAACGCCGCGUGAGUGAAGAGGUUUUUCGGAUCGUAAAACUCUGUUGUUAGAGAAGCGGUAUCUAACCAGAAGGCCACGGCAACCUCCGUGCCAGCAGCCGCGUAAUAC
rnacentral:rRNA from 1 species